CCGGCAGUGUCUUCUGAAAAGAGAGCUGUUUAGAGAGGCAGUUUUGAAUUCAGGAGCGGCAAGAUGGCAGCGGCAAACCCUGGCGGUUCUCCGGGUUCGUGGCAACCACGGAUGGGAAAAUGUGGAGGUUGCACGGCUGAUGUUUACUGUUCGUGGCACAGGAAGAGGCAGUUUCAUUUCAGGAAUGAGUGUGCACAAUCAAAGAAUAGAGCGACUGUGGAGAGACCUCUGGGUGGCCGUUACAUGCAUUUACUACGAUGUUCUUCACAACCCUGAGGAAGAAGGCCUUCUUGACAUUUCAAAUGCUGCACACCUCUUUUGCUGCCAUUACAUCUUUCUUCCUCGACUAGAGGAUAAUUUUAAUACAUUUUGCAGUGGAUGGGACAACCAUCCACUGCGAACAGAAAACAACAUGAGUCCCCCAACCAGCUGUGGGAGUUGGGUCACAGAUAUCACCCUGUUCCUGUUCCAGAUAACACACAGCUUAUCGCACAUUUGAUUUCCAUGUGUGACAACUGCAAGUGUCCAGAGUGAGGACAGAC